rnacentral:rRNA from 1 species
CCAGACUCCUACGGGAGGCAGCAGUGAGGAAUAUUGGUCAAUGGGCGGGAGCCUGAACCAGCCAAGUCGCGUGAGGGAAGACGGUCCUAUGGAUUGUAAACCUCUUUUGUCGGGGAGCAAAGAGGCCACGUGUGGUCAAAAGCGAGAGUACCCGAAGAAAAAGCAUCGGCUAACUCCGUGCCAGCAGCCGCGGUAAUACGGAGGAUGCGAGCGUUAUCCGGAUUUAUUGGGUUUAAAGGGUGCGUAGGCGGGACGGUAAGUCAGCGGUAAAAAGGCGGAGCUCAACUCCGUCGAGCCGUUGAAACUGCCGUCCUUGAGUGAGCGAGAAGUAUGCGGAAUGCGUGGUGUAGCGGUGAAAUGCAUAGAUAUCACGCAGAACUCCGAUUGCGAAGGCAGCAUACCGGCGCUCAACUGACGCUGAAGCACGAAGGCGUGGGUAUCGAACAGGAUUAGAUACCCCUGUAGAU